rnacentral:lncRNA from 1 species
GGUGAGUUAGAUGUUGGUUGGGUCGCGGUACAUGGGGAUGCUGGUCGAGGAAAGGCCUCAAUGCCCCCCACAUUCAUAGCUGAGCUUGACCCUUUGGACUCUUUCGAGGAGGCAUAUAUUAUGCUUGGAAUGCACAUCAAGGCUGCUGAUAUGGCACUCCAAGAUCAUCGACUCAUCGGGGAGUUGAUGAAGAUGGUGAUGCUCCCUGUCGAUUGAGAAGAAAGGAAGGUCCGUCCAGUCGAAAAAAUUAUAUUGGGUUCUUAGGCAUCAUUAGUGUCGGUAAGUCUGGGUGUCUAUUUUCUUGAUGUUCAACUGUCAAUUCUUUUUCCAAAUUAUUGACUUAAUGAAUUUUUUUGUCUUGUAGCUGGUACAUGAUGCGACUAUUAUGUUUGAGAGGUUGACUACUUUCAGGUGGCUCAACCACCAACUAGAAGAUGAGGCCCAGAUCAUCAAUGCCAGGGCCGAAGUAGCUGAGAAACUUCUCCACAUUGCUGAAGAGUGGAAGAAAAAAUAUCAAAACAAGAUUUUCCUAUUGGAGGUUGAGCUAGCUCCUUCUUGAAAAAAGGCUGUCGACCUGGAGUCUCAGCUGGAAAAGAAAGAGGAGGAACUGAAAGAGUUGAAGAAGCAGAAGGCCGAUUUCGAGAAGGAGACGGAGUUGGCAAAAGCUGCCCU